CCUGGGCUGGGCCAUGGUGAUGAUGUGCUGAAGCUGUGGCUGGGUGCACAUAUAGUCAGAGGAGCUCUGUUUUAGG
rnacentral:pre_miRNA from 1 species